GGGAGACACAAGGGGGAACACGGCUGGUAUACUGUAAGGAUUCCUUUCAUUCAAUUCUAUUCCUUUCCUAUCAUC
rnacentral:lncRNA from 1 species